rnacentral:rRNA from 1 species
GACGAACGCUGGCGGCGUGCUUAACACAUGCAAGUCGAACGGAAAGGCCCUGCUUUUGUGGGGUGCUCGAGUGGCGAACGGGUGAGUAACACGUGAGUAACCUGCCCUUGACUUUGUGAUAACUUCAGGAAACUGCGGCUAAUACCGGAUAGGAGCUCCUGCUGCAUGGUGGGGGUUGGAAAGUUUCGGCGGUUGGGGAUGGAUUCGCGGCUUAUCAGCUUGUUGGUGGGGUAGUGGCUUACCAAGGCUUUGACGGGUAGCCGGCCUGAGAGGGUGACCGGCCACAUUGGGACUGAGAGACGGCCCAGACUGCUACGGGUGGCAGCAGUGGGGAAUAUUGCACAAUGGGCGGAAGGCUGAUGCAGCAACGCCGCGUGCGGGAUGACGGCCUUCGGGUUGUAAACCGCUUUCGCCUGUGACGAAGCGUGAGUGACGGUAAUGGGUAAAGAAGCACCGGCUAACUACGUG